rnacentral:rRNA from 1 species
AACGAACGCUGGCGGCAUGCCUAACACAUGCAAGUCGAACGAAGCCUUCGGGCUUAGUGGCGCACGGGUGCGUAACGCGUGGGAAUCUGCCCUUGGGUUCGGAAUAACAGUUAGAAAUGACUGCUAAUACCGAAUGAUGUCUUCGGACCAAAGAUUUAUCGCCCAAGGAUGAGCCCGCGUCGGAUUAGCUAGUUGGUGAGGUAAAGGCUCACCAAGGCGACGAUCCGUAGCUGGUCUGAGAGGAUGAUCAGCCACACUGGGACUGAGACACGGCCCAGACUCCUACGGGAGGCAGCAGUGGGGAAUAUUGGACAAUGGGCGAAAGCCUGAUCCAGCAAUGCCGCGUGAGUGAUGAAGGCCUUAGGGUUGUAAAGCUCUUCUACCCGGGAUGAUAAUGACAGUACCGGGAGAAUAAGCCCCGGCUAACUCCGUGCCAGCAGCCGCGGUAAU